AGAGGCGAUGAAGGGCGUGCUAAUCUGCGAUAAGCGCCGGUAAGGUGAUAUGAACCGUUAUAACCGGCGAUACCCGAAUGGGGAAACCCAGUGUGACUCGUCACACUAUCAUUAACUGAAUCCAUAGGUUAAUGAGGCGAACCGGGGGAACUGAAACAUCUAAGUACCCCGAGGAAAAGAAAUCAACCGAGAUUCCCCCAGUAGCGGCGAGCGAACGGGGAGGAGCCCAGAGCCUGAAUCAGCAUGUGUGUUAGUGGAAGCGUCUGGAAAGGCGCGCGAUACAGGGUGACAGCCCCGUACACAAAAGCGCAUGUGCUGUGAGCUCGAUGAGUAGGGCGGGACACGUGGUAUCCUGUCUGAAUAUGGGGGGACCAUCCUCCAAGGCUAAAUACUCCUGACUGACCGAUAGUGAACCAGUACCGUGAGGGAAAGGCGAAAAGAACCCCGGCGAGGGGAGUGAAAAAGAACCUGAAACCGUGUACGUACAAGCAGUGGGAGCACCCUUUGGGUGUGACUGCGUACCUUUUGUAUAAUGGGUCAGCGACUUAUAUUCUGUAGCAAGGUUAACCGAAUAGGGGAGC
rnacentral:rRNA from 1 species